rnacentral:lncRNA from 1 species
AUGCAAAGAAACAGAGGAAAACAACAGAACAGGAAAGACUAUAGAGAUCUCCUCAAGAAAAUUAGAGAUACCAAGGGAACAUUUCAUGCAAAGAUGGGCUCGAUAAUGGACAGAAAUGGUAUGGACCUAACAGAAGCAGAAGAUAUUAAGAAGAGGUGGCAAGAAUACACAGAACUGUACAAAAAAGAGCUUCACAACCCAGAUAAUCAUGAUGGUGUGAUCACUCACCUAGACAUCCUGGAAUGUGAAGUCAAGUGGGCCUUAGGAAGCAUCACUACGAACAAAGCUAGUGGAGGUGAUGGAAUUCCAGUUGAGCUAUUUGAAAUCCUGAAAGAUGAUGCUGUCAAAGUGCUGCACUCAAUAUGCCAGCAAAUUUGGAAAACUCAGCCAUGGCCACAGGACUGGAAAAGGUCAGUUUUCAUUCUAGUCCCAAAGAAAAGCAAUGCCAAAGAAUGCUCAAACUACUGCACAAUUGCACUCAUCUCACACGCUAGUAAAGUAAUGCUCAAAAUUCUCCAAGCCAGGCUUCAGCAAUAUGUGAACCAUGAACUUCCAGAUGUUCAAGCUGGUUUUAGGAAAGGCAGAGGAACCAGAGAUCAAAUUGCCAACAUCUGCUGGAUCAUGGAAAAAGCAAGAGAGUUCCAGAAAAAGAUCUAUUUCUUCUUUAUUGACUAUGCCAAAGCCUUUGACUGUGUGGAUCACAAUAAAUUGUGGAAAAUUCUUCAAGAGAUAGGAGUACCAGACCACCUGACCUGCCUCUUGAGAAAUCUGUAUGCAGGUCAGGAAGCAACAGUUAGAACUGGACAUGGAACAAAAGACUGGUUCCAGAUAGGAAAAAGAGUACGUCAAGGCUGUAUAUUGUCACCCUGCUUAUUUAACUUAUAUGCAGAGUACAUCAUGAGAAACACUGGGCUGGAAGAAGCACAAGCUGUAACCAAGAUUACUGGGAGAAAUAUCAAUAACCUCAGAUAUGCAGAUGACACCACCCUUAUGGCAGAAAGUGAAAAGGAACUAAAAAGCCUCUUGAUGAAAGUGAAAGAGGAGAGUGAAAAAGUUGGCUUAAAGCUCAACAUUCAGAAAACGAAGAUCAUGGCAUCCGGUCCCAUCACUUCAUGGGGAAUAGAUGGGGAAAUAGUGGAAACAGUGUCAGACUUUAUUUUGGGGGGCUCCAAAAUCACUGCAGAUGGUGAUUGCAGCCAUGAAAUUAAAAGACGCUUACUCCUUGGAAGAAAAGUUAGGACCAACCUAGAUAGCAUAUUAAAAAGCAGAGACAUUACUUUGCCAGCAAAGGUCCAUCUAGUCCUGGCUAUGGUUUUUCCAGUGGUCAUGUAUGAAUGUGAGAGUUGGACUGUGAAGAAGGCUGAGUGCCGAAGAAUUGAUGCUUUUGAACUGUGGUGUUGGAGAAGACUCUUGAGAGUCCCUUGGACUGCAAGGAGAUCCAACCAGUCCAUCCUAAAGGAGAUCAGUCCUGGGUGUUCAUUGGAAGGACUGAUGCUGAGGCUUAAACUCCAAUACUUUGGCCACCUCAUGUGA